GUAAGGAAUAUUGGACAAUGGACGCAAGUCUGAUCCAGCCAUGCCGCGUGAAGGAUUGACGGCCCUAUGGGUUGUAAACUUCUUUUGUAUAGGAAUAAACCCUCGUUCGUGAACGAGGCUGAAGGUACUAUAAGAAUAAGCACCGGCUAACUCCGUGCCAGCAGCCGCGGUAAUACGGAGGGUGCAAGCGUUAUCCGGAUUUAUUGGGUUUAAAGGGUCCGUAGGCGGAUCGUUAAGUCAGUGGUGAAAUCCUACCGCUCAACGGUAGAACUGCCAUUGAUACUGGCGAUCUUGAGUAUGUAUGAAGUUGGCGGAAUGUGUGGUGUAGCGGUGAAAUGCUUAGAUAUCACACAGAACACCGAUUGCGAAGGCAGCUGACUAAUACACAACUGACGCUGAGGGACGAAAGUGUGGGGAUCAAACAGGAUUAGAAACCCCGGUAGUCC
rnacentral:rRNA from 1 species